CGAGCCUGACAAAAUAAAAAAUAACUUCACGUGUUGUAGGUGUUUUUAGUUUUAACAGAAAAAGUCCAGUCCGUUCAGCUCAAUAAUUUUGAUAGAAAAUCGUGUUCAAUACACUAUUCUUUCUGAUAAAAGUCAGCGGAAAGUUUAAGGACUUGCAACGCUAAAACCAGGGAUUCGAUUCCCGCGGUGGACACAGUAGAUAGUCAAUGUGACUUUGCUCUAAAACAAACAAAGUCACGAGAAAGUUCUGUAGCUUAAUACGUUGUUUCUAAUUUAAUAAUAACACGAGGACUAAAGAUGAAUGCCAAGGCAGUCUUCCAGAGAAAGCUGACUAUAACGCUAUAUCAACAAGAUUCUACCCAACCUCAACAUAUUAACUUCCGAGUCUGUGUAGCUACAAGUUCAGUUUGUUUGUUUUUCUCCCUGAAACGUGGUAUUAUCAGAAGGUGGCUUAGAAAAAUUCGAAAGCUAGCGAAAACCAAUCGAAGAUCCAUCACAAAUCCUAGAAGGGCACAUUCAGUUUUGUUGCCCACUUGUUUGGGUAGUUCUCCUGGGCAGUCUGGUGGCUAAAAAGAAGAAAGGGACAGUUGAUGUUUUGAAGGUUUGGAGGUGGUUCGUAAAAGGCAAGUCCCAAUGAAAUGAUAGCAGCGACUUCCAAAAUUACAAGUGUA